AACGAACGCUGGCGGCAGGCUUAACACAUGCAAGUCGAGCGCCUCGCAAGAGGAGCGGCAGACGGGUGAGUAACGCGUGGGAAUCUACCCAUCUCUACGGAAUAACGCAUGGAAACGUGUGCUAAUACCGUAUACGCCCUUAGGGGGAAAGAUUUAUCGGGGUAUGAUGAGCCCGCGUUGGAUUAGCUAGUUGGUGGGGU
rnacentral:rRNA from 1 species